rnacentral:tRNA from 1 species
GCGGAUGUAGCCCAGUGGAUCAAGGCAGUGGAUUGUG